GAAAGGUGAGCUAAUACCCUAUACGCUUCCCUCUUUAUGAAGAGGGAAGGAAAGCUAAGCCGUGGGCUUGGCGCUCAAGGAGGGGCUCAUGUCCUAUCAGCUUGUUGGUGGGGUAACGGCCUACCAAGGCUACGACGGGUAGCUGGUCUGAGAGGAUGAUCAGCCACACUGGCACUGAGAUACGGGCCAGACUCCUACGGGAGGCAGCAGUGAGGAAUAUUGCGCAAUGGGCGAAAGCCUGACGCAGCGACGCCGCGUGGGGGAUGAAGGUUUUCGGAUUGUAAACCCCUUUUGUGAGGAAAGAGAAAGUGGGUAACCACUUAGACGGUACCUCAAGAAAAAGCCACGGCUAACUUCGUGCCAGCAGCCGCGGUAAUACGAAGGUGGCGAGCGUUGUUCGGAUUUACUGGGCGUAAAGAGCACGUAGGCGGUUGGGUAAGCCUCUUGGGAAAGCUCCCGGCUUANCGGGAAAGUUCGAGGGGAACUACUCACCUANAGACNGGAAAAGAACCCG
rnacentral:rRNA from 1 species